AACGAACGCUGGCGGCAUGCCUAACACAUGCAAGUCGAACGAGACCUUCGGGUCUAGUGGCGCACGGGUGCGUAACGCGUGGGAAUCUGCCCUUGGGUUCGGAAUAACAGUUAGAAAUGACUGCUAAUACCGGAUGAUGACUUCGGUCCAAAGAUUUAUCGCCCAGGGAUGAGCCCGCGUCGGAUUAGCUAGUUGGUAGGGUAAAGGCCUACCAAGGCGACGAUCCGUAGCUGGUCUGAGAGGAUGAUCAGCCACACUGGGACUGAGACACGGCCCAGACUCCUACGGGAGGCAGCAGUGGGGAAUAUUGGACAAUGGGCGAAAGCCUGAUCCAGCAAUGCCGCGUGAGUGAUGAAGGCCUUAGGGUUGUAAAGCUCUUUUACCCGGGAUGAUAAUGACAGUACCGGGAGAAUAAGCCCCGGCUAACUCCGUGCCAGCCGCCGCAGUAACAC
rnacentral:rRNA from 1 species